CUUCCCUUAGGCUCUUACUUUAAAAUUUUUAUACACACAAAAGGCUUCUAGUAGUCCCCUAGAGGGUGUCUUUACAGCUAAAAUAUUUCCUAGGGGUUCUGGCCUAAGGUCUAAUUUAUGAGCAUAUUUAUAAGAUAUGAAGAAAUGAGAGACACCUAUAUCAAUCAAAGCACGUGCGGUGGUAUUAUGAACAGAAAUCAUACCUUGAAUGAUAGCGGGGGUGAUAGGAACAUCUAGCCCAUCCAGUUGGUAAACACGUCCCUGGCCAACAGGACUGGCAAGGUCCUUGGGUCUUUGUGGGCAAUCCUUCACAACAUGUUGUGUACUCUCGCACUUGUAGCAGGAGUGGUUUAGAGAUCAAUAAAGAUAGUCACCAUGGUAACGACCACAAUGCUGGUAAGGGGAACAAGUUCUAAAAGGGCCUCUAGUAGGAGGGGGCAAAGCAGUAGGGGCUAGAAUAACACGGGGUCUCUUGUUUAAAUAGUUAGAGUCAGAGUCAGGGAAUAUCCUCUUCUACUACUAUUCUUGCUGACUGCGAAAAUGGAUGAUGCACUGGUUGCAGGGCAAGAUAAUGUCUUUGGCCAACUAGACAUUUUCCAACACCUCAACAUAGGAACUAGACUUGGACAUGAUAACUCGAUGAAAAAUAUCUGG
rnacentral:lncRNA from 1 species